rnacentral:rRNA from 1 species
UUCCCUACGGAGGCAGCAGUGGGGAAUAUUGCACAAUGGGCGCAAGCCUGAUGCAGCGACGCCGCGUGAGGGAUGACGGCCUUCGGGUUGUAAACCUCUUUCAGUAGGGAAGAAGCGAAAGUGACGGUACCUGCAGAAGAAGCGCCGGCUAACUACGUGCCAGCAGCCGCGGUAAUACGUAGGGCGCAAGCGUUAUCCGGAAUUAUUGGGCGUAAAGAGCUCGUAGGCGGUUUGUCGCGUCUGCCGUGAAAGUCCGGGGCUCAACUCCGGAUCUGCGGUGGGUACGGGCAGACUAGAGUGAUGUAGGGGAGACUGGAAUUCCUGGUGUAGCGGUGAAAUGCGCAGAUAUCAGGAGGAACACCGAUGGCGAAGGCAGGUCUCUGGGCAUUAACUGACGCUGAGGAGCGAAAGCAUGGGGAGCGAACAGGAUUAGAUACCCUGGUAGUCCCAUGCCGUAAACGUUGGGCACUAGGUGUGGGGGACAUUCCACGUUUUCCGCGCCGUAGCUAACGCAUUAAGUGCCCCGCCUGGGGAGUACGC